UAUUAGCGCGUGCUUAGGAAGGAGUGA
rnacentral:piRNA from 1 species